rnacentral:lncRNA from 1 species
GAAAAAAGAAUCCUCCCACCUCAUGCCUUUUUUUUUUUCUGAUGCCAGGAAUUAGUAUUCAUUGCCUCUUUAAGAGGCCAAUGCAAAAAAAGGUAGAAAAAGCCCUAGCCCAGGAGUUGGGAUUGCCAGUUGUAGUCCCUGGGUUGCCUUGCUGGGGGUGCCUAAGUCAGUGCCAUAACCUCAGUUUUUCUAAUCUGUGUAACAUGGGGAUAGAGUAUAUGAUUUCCAAGGUCACUUUCACCUCUGUGAUUGAGCCUCUAAGAAAGCCAAAUCUUUUCACUUUGUAAUCAUGACAUUUUUAAAAGAUGGAGUUAAUAUGAAUGGGAAACUUUUUUUUUUUUGAGCCAGGGACUUGCUAUGUUGCCCAGGCUGGUCUUGAACUCCUGAACUCAAGUGAUCCUCUCACCUCAGCCUCUCAAAUAGCUGAGACUACAGGCACACACCACUGCACCUGGCUAAAGACUAUAUUCUUAAAGAAUAAAAGUACUGCACUUCACCUCUAUCUCCUGGUAUCUCUUCAAUUCAAACACACCAUUAAUGACUACAAUAUUUUAUUUAAGGCCGGGCGCAGUGGCUCACGCCUGGUUAAUCCCAGCACUUUGGGAGGCCAAGGCAGGCGGAUCACUAGGUCAGGAGAUCGAGACCAUCCUGGCUAACGUGGUGAAACCCCGUCUCUACUUAUAAAAAAAAAAAAAAAAAAAAUUAGCCGGGCGUGGGAGCGGGCGCCUGUAGUCCCAGCUACUUGGGAGGCUGAGCUUGCAGUGAGCCGAGAUCACGCGGCUGCGCUCCAGCCUGGGCGACAGAGUGAGACUCUGUCUCAAAAUAAAUAAAUAAAUAAAUAAAAAUAAAAAAUAAAAAAUAUUUUAUUUAAACCUUUAUGUUGAACUUAAAAGUUCCUUGAAGCUUUGCUUUGGCUCUUAAUUACUGGUAUGUUUUUGAGUACAACAUUUUGAAGAAGCAGAAUGUGAAAAGACUAAUUUGCUUUCCAGCUGAGUUUUAGUUCUCGAAGGCAAUGGAACUGUUGCUAUCCACUUCUGCCUCUUAGUACCUUAAACCUCAGAGAUGCUCACUGGAACACUUUUUACAUGGAUUUGUCUUUGGUUUCAUCAGGUGAGUGUGCUACAAAAAUCUAGAACCUAAGAGCCAAUGCAGCGUCGGUUCUGUGACUAUCCUUGUUAAGUGUUACGGUUUUCUAAUCCUUCACAAAUGUUUUUUUCCCAACACAAAGCACCAUUAUCUUUCCUCACAAUUUUCAACAUAGUUUGAUUCCCAUGAAGAGGUUAUGAUUUCUAAAGAAAACAUGGCUACUAUACUAUCAAUCAGGGUUAAAUCUUUUUUUUUUGAGACGGAGUUUCGCUCUUGUUGCCGAGGCUGGAGUGCGAUGGCGUGAUCUCGGCUCACCGCAACCUCCGUCUCCCGGUUCAGGAAAUUCUCCUGCCUCAGCCUCCCAAGUAGCUGGGAUUACAGGCAUGUGCCACCAUGCCAGGCUAAUUUUGUAUUUUUUAAGUAGAGACAGGAUUUCACCAUGUUGGUCAGGCUGGUCUUGAACUCCUGACCUCAGGUGGAUCCACCCACCUUGGCCUCCCAAAGUGCUGGGAUUAUGGUGUGAGCCACCACACCUGGUCCUAUCAGGGUUAAAUCCAAGUAAUAACUCAAUUUCAAAAAAAUUGCAGAAAAGCCUAUUAAAAGAAAAAAAAAACCAUGAGACUUAUCUCUUGUAAAUUUGUUACAUGAACUAGAUAUUAAACAGCCAAAAAAGGACAGCGAUGAUAGUAUCUGUUAAGAUCCUGGUUCAUUUCACAAUAUGAAAAAGUUGAUGGGUACUUAGUAGCUUUUUUAAAAAAAUUCAUUUUAUUAUAUUAUACUAGAAAAAUGAAAAUAUUAAUACUUUCCAUUCAGAAAAGCUUAAAUGACUCGUCUCUAAUUUUGGUUUAAAGUUUUCUUCAAUUUAUUCAAGGCUCUCAAAAAAAAAAUAGAAAAGCACUGUAAUUUGCACUGCUUGACUGUAAAAUGUUUUAUGUGUUAGGAAUAGAAUAUUCUUUAAUGGGCAGGCAGAGAAUGAAAGCCAAGCCAAAUAACAAAAUCUCAUGGGUUUUGAUCACUUAGAAAAUUACAGUGAAUCAAUAUUACCUAAAAGGAAAUUCAAAAAAUUCCCAAUUGUUGAUAAUACAUGUCUCCUGGCAUACAGGGUCCAUCUUGCAGUAAAAAAUGGGCACAAUGC